AAGCCAUGAUGGGGGAUUAAGUUUAAUAGAUCCUUGUAUCUCUCCCAAUAUUGAUAAAAUGACUCCCCAUCUUUUUGUUUAAACGUUUGAAUCUGAUUGAUGAGGUC